AGUCUAUCCAAUUAGUGGUAGAGAUGACUGAGUUAUCCAUAGUCAUUACAAGACCAGGAUCCGAAAAGCGCUGCAGGCUGUUGGUCUUGGAAUCCUGCAAGGCAUGUGGAGCCUCAGUUAUACUCCAGUCUAAUAUUUUGUGGUGCUAACCCCCCAUUCCUGCCACCAGCAAACAAUCCAGCCUUUCAGAAACUUUGGCAUUUCUGCCUUGGUGUGCACUGCCAGGAUUUCAUCAGUGGCCAGGAUCAUCUCUACCAGGACCAUUUCCUUGCAAGCUGUCACUCCUGGGACAGCUGUGGCCAGAGAGCCUAUUACAAAGAGAUUUAGCUGCCAUCUGUGGCCUUUGUGCAUGCCCAGAGCUUCUCUCCCCCAAUGCCCUGGAAGAUGGGGAAGCUUAUUGGUCUCACGUGUGUUCCCUGCUGUCAGUGUUCUCUUCAAUAGCCCUGCUGCCUGGCAAGUUUCUCAUUCUCUAACUUCCCAUUUUUAAAACAACCAUGGAAAACAAUUGUCACAAUUAUUUCUUUUAAUACUUCAGCUGCAGUGAAAUCUGGGCGUUCCAAAGACCACUGGGAUUCAUGGUUCUCCACACAAGUAAAAUCCAUGAUUCUGCAUUUUCCUCAAGCCACUUGUGCUUCUGUUUAAUGUGUGAACCUUCGUUGAACAACUUUCCUAUCUACAAGACGCCAGUUACUGAAAAUGGAAACAACGCGUCCUUGACCUUCAGAAGAAAUUGACUUGCCUAGCUUAACUAUUCAAACAAACAACUGUAUACUGUCUGCAGUGCCGAUGAUGAUCUUGAUUUACUGUAAAUGGGGUGACUUUAAUGAACUAAAUUACGUUAUUGAAAUGCAUUUAGUGAAUGAUUCCACCAUUCUCUCCUAAGCAUUCUUUCUAUGCCAAAGUGUGCCGUAAAUGAUAUGAUAUGGAACAUAUGUGCUGUAUUCAUAAUUUAACUGUUCUAGGGUAUGCCUACUUAGGGUGCUGUGAAGAACGAGUCUUUAUUUACCUGCUGAAAUGAAAGUGAUUUUUCAGGAAAUUUCUGUGACUCCCUGACCUUGACAGAAUUACAGUUUUCACAUGGAUGAGCCGUUGGAAUGAUUUACAAAAAAACAAAACCUGAAUGGCAUAAACAGAGAGUAUCCCUUAGCAUCAGUCACAUACUCUGUAUCUUGACUCCCUCCUCGCUGUCUCCAUUGAACUAACAUUUUGUAACACUGCUACAGAAAUAAUUUGCUUUUAACGAUGGUCAUCUUUGUCUGUCGUCCACGGUUGGGAGGGGGGAAUCUGUGCCCCUCCAAAUAUUAUUGGACUGCAGCUCCCAAUAUCCCUGAUCAUUGACCAUUCUGGGAGAGCGUGAGGUUGUUGUGAGAACAUCUGGAUGCCAACAACAUCUGGAGGGACACAUGUUCCCCACUUCUGCUCUAAGAACUGGGAUGCUGAGUCAAAUACAGAGCAAGUAAAUACGCAUAUUUACUCAGAGGGCAGUACCAGCCACUGAGCUUAAUGAGUUGAAUGUUCUUAAGAUAUUAGACUUAAUAUUUUGGAAUUCAGCCUUUAUGACUCCCAAAUCCUUUCUUUACCAUUGUGGAUCCAUUUGAAUAACAUGGAGAGGCAUGGGCAAUUUCGUAUUUUUUUCUACUGGAAAUCAAUCCCAUUUUCUAUUGAGCAAUUAACUGAACCAAUGUAGGUGAUAUAGCUUUAAAGAUUACUGUCUUAAAAGUUAUUGCAGCUACCUUGGUUCAAUUAACUGCCCAAUAAGGUAGGAGAGAAAACCUUUCCAUAGAUGGACUGGAUGUGGUCCAAAUUGGAAGUCAUAUGGCUCUGGCAACUUUCAGAGAUACUUCCCUAUUCUUUUCUGCAGUGGUUCUUGUGGAAUUCUCUCCCCCAGGGGGGCUCGCUGGGUGCCUUCAUUGUACAUCUUUAGGCGCCAGGCGAAAACUUACUUCUUCAACCAGGCCUUUGGCUGAUUAACAUUCAA